rnacentral:rRNA from 1 species
AAUAGAUACCCCGGUAGUCCACGCCGUAAACGAUGUCGACUUGGAGGUUGUGCCCUUGAGGCGUGGCUUCCGGAGCUAACGCGUUAAGUCGACCGCCUGGGGAGUACGGCCGCAAGGUUAAAACUCAAAUGAAUUGACGGGGGCCCGCACAAGCGGUGGAGCAUGUGGUUUAAUUCGAUGCAACGCGAAGAACCUUACCUACUCUUGACAUCCAGAGAACUUGGCAGAGAUGCUUUGGUGCCUUCGGGAACUCUGAGACAGGUGCUGCAUGGCUGUCGUCAGCUCGUGUUGUGAAAUGUUGGGUUAAGUCCCGCAACGAGCGCAACCCUUAUCCUUUGUUGCCAGCGGUUAGGCUGGGAACUCAAAGGAGACUGCCAGUGAUAAACUGGAGGAAGGUGGGGAUGACGUCAAGUCAUCAUGGCCCUUACGAGUAGGGCUACACACGUGCUACAAUGGCAUAUACAAAGAGAAGCGACCUCGCGAGAGCAAGCGGACCUCAUAAAGUAUGUCGUAGUCCGGA